UGGCUCAGAACGAACGCUGGCGGCAUGCCUUACACAUGCAAGUCGAACGGCAGCAUGGAGGAGCUUGCUCCUCUGAUGGCGAGUGGCGAACGGGUGAGUAAAGCAUCGGAACGUGCCGUGUAGUGGGGGAUAACGUAGCGAAAGUUACGCUAAUACCGCAUACGCACCGAGGUGGAAAGCAGGGGAUCGCAAGACCUUGCGCUAUACGAGCGGCCGAUGUCAGAUUAGCUAGUUGGUAGGGUAAAGGCCUGCCAAAGCGACGAUCUGUAGCGGGUCUGAGAGGAUGAUCCGCC
rnacentral:rRNA from 1 species